CUCACAGAAGAAGUCCUGGCUAACUCCGUGCCAGCAGCCGCGGUAAUACGGAGAGGGCUAGCGUUAUUCGGAAUUAUUGGGCGUAAAGGGCGCGUAGGCUGACUAAUAAGUUAAAAGUGAAAUCCCGAGGCUUAACCUUGGAAUUGCUUUUAAAACUGUUAAUCUAGAGAUUGAAAGAGGAUAGAGGAAUUCCUAGUGUAGAGGUAAAAUUCGUAAAUAUUAGGAGGAACACCAGUGGCGAAGGCGUCUAUCUGGUUCAAAUCUGACGCUGAGGCGCGAAGGCGUGGGGAGUAAACAGGAUUAGAUACCCUGGUAGUCCACGCUGUAAACGAUGAAUGUUAAAUAUGGGAAAUUUAUUUUCUGUAUUACAGCUAACGCGUUAAACAUUCCGCCUGGGGACUACGGUCGCAAGAUUAAAACUCAAAGGAAUUGACGGGGACCCGCACAAGCGGUGGAGCAUGUGGUUUAAUUCGAUGCAACGCGAAAAACCUUACCACUCCUUGACAUGGAAAUCAUACCUAUUCGAAGGGAUAGGGUCGGUUCGGCCGGAUUUCACACAGGUGUUGCAUGGCUGUCGUCAGCUCGUGUCGUGAGAUGUUGGGUUAAGUCCCGCAACGAGCGCAACCCUCAUCCUUAGUUACCAUCAGAUAAUGCUGGGGACUUUAAGGAAACUGCUAGUGAUAAACUGGAGGAAGGUGGGGAUGAUGUCAAGUCAUCAUGGCCCUUAUGGAGUGGGCUACACACGUGCUACAAUGGUGGCUACAAUGGGCUGCAAAGUCGCGAGGCUAAGCUAAUCCCUUAAAAGCCAUCUCAGUUCGGAUUGCACUCUGCAACU
rnacentral:rRNA from 1 species